rnacentral:rRNA from 1 species
UUACGGGAGGCAGCAGUGGGGAAUAUUGGACAAUGGGCGAAAGCCUGAUCCAGCAAUGCCGCGUGAGUGAUGAAGGCCUUAGGGUUGUAAAGCUCUUUUACCAGGGAUGUUAAUGACAGUACCUGGAGAAUAAGCUCCGGCUAACUCCGUGCCAGCAGCCGCGGUAAUACGGAGGGAGCUAGCGUUGUUCGGAAUUACUGGGCGUAAAGCGUGCGUAGGCGGUUAUUCAAGUCAGAGGUGAAAGCCUGGAGCUCAACUCCAGAACUGCCUUUGAAACUAGGUAACUAGAAUUGUGGGGAGGUAAGUGGAAUUCCGAGUGUAGAGGUGAAAUUCGUAGAUAUUCGGAAGGACACCAGUGGCGAAGGCGACUUACUGGACACAUAUUGACGCUGAGGUACGAAAGCGUGGGGAGCAAACAGGAUUAGAUACCCUAGUAU